GAUGAACGCUGGCGGCGUGCCUAAUACAUGCAAGUCGAGCGAACAGACGAGGAGCUUGCUCCUCUGACGUUAGCGGCGGACGGGUGAGUAACACGUGGAUAACCUACCUAUAAGACUGGGAUAACUUCGGGAAACCGGAGCUAAUACCGGAUAAUAUAUUGAACCGCAUGGUUCAAUAGUGAAAGACGGUUUUACUGUCACUUAUAGAUGAAUCCGCGCCGCAUUAGCUAGUUGGUAAGGUAACGGCUUACCAAGGCAACGAUGCGUAGCCGACCUGAAAGGGUGGUUGGCCACACGGGAACUGAGACACGGCCCAGACUCCUACGGGAGGCAGCAGUAGGGAAUCUUACGCAAUGGGCGAAAGCGUGACGGAGCAACGCCGCGUGAGUGAUGAAGGUCCUCGGAUCGUAAAACUCUGUUAGUAGGGAAGAACAAAUGUGUAAGUAACUAUGCACGUAUUGACGGUACCUAAUCAGAAAGCCACGGCUAACUACGUG
rnacentral:rRNA from 1 species